GCGGAGGAAAAGAAACUAACAAGGAUUCCCCUAGUAACUGCGAGUGAACCGGGAAAAGCUCAAAUUUUGAAUCUGGCGGUCCAAGGGCCGUCCGAGUUGUAAUCUAGAGAAGCGUCUUCCGCGCUGGACCGUGUAUAAGUUUCCUGGAAUGGAACGUCGUAGAGGGUGACAAUCCCGUCUUUGACACGGACUCCCAGUGCUAUGUGAUGCGCUCUCGACGAGUCGAGUUGUUUGGGAAUGCAGCUCAAAUAGGGUGGUAAAUUCCAUCUAAAGCUAAAUACAGGCGAGAGACCGAUAGCGAACAAGUACCGUGAGGGAAAGAUGAAAAGAACUUUGGAAAGAGAGUUAAACAGUACGUGAAAUUGCUGAAAGGGAAACGCUUGAUGUCAGUCGCAUCGUCCGGGGAUCAGCCUCGCUCUUUUGCUCGGCGUACUUCCUGGUCGAUGGGUCAGCAUCGGUUUCGACCGUCGGAAAAUGGCUCGAGGAACGUGGCACUCUUCGGGGUGUGUUAUAGCCUCGAGUCGAAUACGACGGUCGGGACCGAGGAACUCAGCACGACCUUCGGGUUCGGGGCUUCGGCUCACGUUCGCGUGCUUAGGAUGCUGGCAUAAUGGCCUUAACGACCCG
rnacentral:rRNA from 1 species